rnacentral:misc_RNA from 1 species
CGCACCUUGCGCUCCUUGGUAUUCCUUGGAGCAUGCCUGUUUGAGUGUCUUGAAUAUCUCUGCUCUUGUAGUUUUUUAUUAAAUUGCAACGAGUCAGGUCCUUGGGUCUGCUUGCGGUUUGUUACGAACACAAGCUUGCCUUAAAUGUAUUAGCUGGAUUUCAGUAGAGUUGUUAAGUAACAUUGAAAACUCUCAUAACAGGAAAUCUGCUUUCGAAUCAGUUUUGUCUCUUUAUUGUAGACACUACUACUUUUUCUAUUUUGGCCUCAAAUCAGGUAGGACUACCCGCUGAACUUAA